rnacentral:lncRNA from 1 species
UCUAAAAUUUUAAAAUUUACAAAACUAACCCUUUCAAAAUUAUAUUUGUAAAAAUUUUUUUUUUUUUUUUUGCCACGUAGGUGUGAGGGUAAAUAUCUCUUAUGAAAGCGAUGAAUCAUUCACCCUCUUUCGCUUAUUUAUUGUUUCUCUUUAUAUUUCAUAUAUAAUUUUAACAACCAUAUAAAAAUUUUAACAAAUCAUAUAUAAUCUUAACAAUCUAAAAAUCUUAAUAAUUUAUCCAUAUAAUUUCAUAUAAUCUUAACCGCCUGAAAAUCCUAACAGUCUAUCCUAACAAAUCACAUAUAAUCUUAACAAACUAAAAAUCUUAAUAAUUUAUUCAUACAAUUUCAUAUAAUCUUAACAGCCUGAAAAUCCUAACAGUCUAUCCUAACAAAUCACAUAUAAUCUUAAUAAUCUGAAAAUUCUAAUAAUUUAUCCAUAUAAUUUUAUAUAAUCUUAACAGCCUGAAAAUCCUAAUAGUUUAUACAUACAAUUUCAUAUAAUCUUAACAAUUUGAAAAUCCUAAUAAUCUAUUUAUACAAUUUCAUAUAAUCUUAACAGUAUGAAAAUCUUAAAAAUAUAUCCAUAUAAUUUUAUAUAAAUUUAACAGCCUGAAAAUCAUAAUAAUCUAUUUAUACAAUCAUAACAAUCAAAUAAAAAUUCUAAUAAUCUAUAUAUAAUCCUAACAACCUUAUUUUUUUCUAUUUUCUAUAUAAUUCACGCACAAUUUUAAUAAAUGCGGCGAAAGCGGUGAAUGAUUCACCGACUUAAAAGAAAUAAAAGAAAACGGUAAACAAUUCACCGCCUUUAAAAGAUAUGAGAUAAAAUCCCAUGUGGUUCAUACAUGGCGAAAAGAGAGUUAGUUUGCAAAAUAUAAUUUUGGUAGGAUUAUUUCGUAAAUUAUAAAAUUUUAGAAGGUUAUUUUAUAAAAUUCUAUUUUUUUGGUAAAAAUGUAUAGAGA